CGCGUUGCAGCGUGGAGCCCUCACCCGCCGCAGCCAGGCCCAGUUGCUCAGCUUGGCGGGCAGCGAGCUGCCGGUCCCGCAGGCGCGGCUCCGGAUCUCGGCGGGGAAGUAGCGCGCCAGGAUCUCCGCCACCAGAAAAUGAACAUCUACAAAGCAGAGCUGCAAAAAAUCCUCAGAAAUAGUUAAAAACUGCAUUUAGAGGCUGCCUUUGAAAUGUUGUCCCCCUUUCUCCUUAGA